GAUGAACGCUAGCGAUAGGCUUAACACAUGCAAGUCGAGGGGUAACGUGUUGGAAGCUUGCUUCCGAUGACGACGACCGGCGGAUGGGUGCGUAACGCGUAUGCAACUUGCCUCACAGAGGAGAAUAACCCGGAGAAAUCCGGACUAAUGCUCCAUACACUCUUUAGCACGCCUGUGCGUAAGAGGAAAGAUUUAUCGCUGUGAGAUAGGCAUGCGUCCUAUUAGGUAGUUGGUGAGGUAACGGCUCACCAAGCCGACGAUAGGUAGGGGUGCUGAGAGGCAGAUCCCCCACAUUGGGACUGAGACACGGCCCAAACUCCUACGGGAGGCAGCAGUGAGGAAUAUUGGUCAAUGGAGGAAACUCUGAACCAGCCAAGUCGCGUGAAGGAAGAAUGUCCUAAGGAUUGUAAACUUCUUUAGCGAGUGAGUAAGGACUUCCACGCGUUGGGAGUUUGAAAGUAGCUCGAGAAUAAGUAUCGGCUAACUCCGUGCCAGCAGCCGCGGUAAUACGGAGGAUACGAGCGUUAUCCGGAUUUAUUGGGUUUAAAGGGUGCGCAGGUGGUCCUGCAAGUCAGUGGUGAAAGGCUGAGGCUCAACCUCAGCCUUGCCGUUGAAACUGCAAGACUUGAGAGUACAUGAUGUGGGCGGAAUGCGUAGUGUAGCGGUGAAAUGCAUAGAUAUUACGCAGAGCUCCGAUUGCGAAGGCAGCUCACAAAGGUAUAUCUGACACUGAGGCACGAAAGCGUGGGGAGCAAACAGG
rnacentral:rRNA from 1 species